AUUGAACGCUGGCGGCAGGCCUAACACAUGCAAGUCGAAUGGUAACAGGAAACAGCUUGCUGUUUCUCUGACGAGUGGCGGACGGGUGAGUAAUGUCUGGGAAACUGCCUGAUGGAGGGGGAUAACUACUGGAAACGGUAGCUAAUACCGCAUAACGUCGCAAGACCAAAGAGGGGGACCUUCGGGCCUCUUGCCAUCAGAUGUGCCCAGAUGGGAUUAGCUAGUAGGUGGGGUAACGGCUCACCUAGGCGACGAUCCCUAGCUGGGCUGAGAGGAUGACCAGCCACACUGGAACUGAGACACGGUCCAGACUCCUACGGGAGGCUGCAGUGGGGAAUAUUGCACAAUGGGCGCAAGCCUGAUGCAGCCAUGCCGCGUGUAUGAAGAAGGCCUUCGGGUUGUAAAGUACUUUCAGCGGGGAGGAAGGGAGUAAAGUUAAUACCUUUGCUCAUUGACGUUACCCGCAGAAGAAGCACCGGCUAACUCCGUG
rnacentral:rRNA from 1 species